AUUGAACGCUGGCGGCAGGCUUAACACAUGCAAGUCGAGCGAGCGCGGGACGGGGGAGUAAGUCCGGGGAAACUGCCUGAUGGGGGGGGAUAACUACGGAAAACGGUCGCAAAUACCGCAUACCAUCAGAUGUGCCAGGAUGGGAUUAGCUAUUAGUUGGGGUAAUGGCUCACCUAGGCGACGAUCCCUAGCUGGUCUGAGAGGAUGACCAGCCACACUGGAACUGAGACACGGUCCAGACUCCUACGGGAGGCAGCAGUGGGGAAUAUUGCACAAUGGGCGCAAGCCUGAUGCAGCCAUGCCGCGUGUGUGAAGAAGGCCUUCGGGUUGUAAAGCACUUUCAGCGAGGAGGCGUUACUCGCAGAAGAAGCACCGGCUAACUCCGUGCCAGCAGCCGCGGUAAUUC
rnacentral:rRNA from 1 species